rnacentral:rRNA from 1 species
GAUGAACGCUGGCGGCGUGCCUAAUACAUGCAAGUCAAGCGAACAGACGAGGAGCUUGCUCCUCUGACGUUAGCGGUGGACGGGUGAGUAACACGUGGAUAACCUACCUAUAAGACUGGGAUAACUUCGGGAAACCGGAGCUAAAACCGGAUAACAUGUUGAACCGCAUGGUUCAACAGUGAAAGACGGUCUUGCUGUCACUUAUAGAUGGAUACGCGCCACAUUAGCUAGUUGGUAAGGUAACGGCUUACCAAGGCAACGAUGCGUAGCCGACCUGAGAGGGUGAUCGGCCACCCUGGAACUGAGACACGGUCCAGACUCCUACGGGAGGCAGCAGUAGGGAAUCUUCCGCAAUGGGCGAAAGCCUGACGGAGCAACGCCGCGUGAGUGAAGAAGGUCUUCGGAUUGUAAAACUCUGUUAUUAGGGAAGAACAAAUGUGUAAGUAACUAUGCACGUCUUGACGGUACCUAAUCAGAAAGCCACGGCUAACUACGUGCCAGCCGCCGCGGUAA